rnacentral:rRNA from 1 species
CUUUCUUUGCUGGCGACCGGCGCACGGGUGAGUAACACGUAUCCAACCUGCCCUUUACUCGGGGAUAGCCUUUCGAAAGAAAGAUUAAUACCCGAUAGCAUAAUGAUUCCGCAUGGUUUCAUUAUUAAAGGAUUCCGGUAAAGGAUGGGGAUGCGUUCCAUUAGGUUGUUGGUGAGGUAACGGCUCACCAAGCCUUCGAUGGAUAGGGGUUCUGAGAGGAAGGCCCCCCACAUUGGAACUGAGACACGGUCCAA